AUUGAACGCUGGCGGCAGGCCUAACACAUGCAAGUCGAACGAGUGGCGGACGGGGGAGUAAUGUCUGGGAAACUGCCCGAUGGAGGGGGGUAACGCCUGGAAACGGUAGCUAAUACCGCAUACCAUCUGAGGUGCCCAGAUGGGGUUAGCUUGUAGGUGAGGUAACGGCUCACCUAGGCGACGAUCCCUAGCUGGUCUGAGAGGAUGAUCAGUCACACUGGAACUGAGACACGGUCCAGACUCCUACGGGAGGCAGCAGUGGGGAAUAUUGGACAAUGGGCGAAAGCCUGAUCCAGCCAUGCCGCGUGUGUGAAGAAGGUCUUCGGAUUGUAAAGCACUUUAAGUUGGGAGGCGUUACCAACAGAAUAAGCACCGGCUAACUUCGUGCCAGCAGCCGCGGUAAUUC
rnacentral:rRNA from 1 species